AACCCAUAAUCACGAUAUCUUCUUCACUUAAUCGCCUCUUCCGUUACAGAAAUAAAUUGGGGUUCUUCCUUGGAUUGUUCUCCCCUAUUAACAACGACGUGAUUUACGCCAUUCAAUCCCUUUGAUUCCUAACCGGAUAAUCAAUUUGAUGCGUUACAUUAGAAGAACUACCCGCUGAAAUCCCUACAUAAACCUCACCAGAGGUUAUCAUCUUCCCAUGUUUCUCCAUUUCUUUCAUUCGCAUACGCUCUCAAAACUAUGAGAAUAUAAUGGCCGAAAGCAGGUGGUACACACCAUUACGCGCAGUUCUUGAAGGAGAUGGUCGAAUUUUACACCAACAUGAAUGACAUGAAGCUUAUAAUGGGAACUGGCCGUUCUACUCUUGGAGGUUGGAAACAAUUUCGCUACUCUGGGAUCGGAAAACAGGUCCGACAAAGAAAGGUCUCACAUUUAAAUUUUCUCUUACUAAUUGUUGUUUUAAUCUCUUUGAUCGAAUAAAAGAAAACAGACAUAUAAUGAUUUGACUAUAGAAAACUACAUAGAAGCAGUUGUGUAUUAGUAAAUUAAAGAGAGAAAGAAAGGAAGCAGUUGUAUUCAGGGACUCCCUCCUUGAUUAUCUCAAUAUCAUGCUCGAGAACUGAAAUUUGUAGGUUAUAGAAACAUCAGAAAGCAGGUAAAAUGACUUAUCAUAGCCAUGGAAUGGAGCAGUUUGUUUGUCAAAGAAGAUUUGCAUAUAUCAUUUUAUUGUAUUUGAGAUCAUCUUCUCUAUAUCCAUGGAAUAUCUGGCAAAUCCAGGUAAGCCUCACCAAUAACUAGCACUAAGUUGAUUUAAAGGGUAUUCGUAGGUUUCCAGUUUUGAUUUGUUGUUGGUUGACGUCAAAUGUGCAUGUUGUUGGUUGAUGAGAAGUCUGGAAGAUGUAAAGUUCAUAGCUGACUUCAAUAACUUCAAUAACUUUGUUAGCACCGCCCUGUAUUUGUUGCAGCACCAUCCCACAAAACACUCAUAUGGUUCCUUCUAUCACUAGAUCCACCUCUGCAUCCUUGCAGAGAGCUCAUACAUUAUUCUAACUCACGAUUAAUAUCUCAGUAUAUGUCACUCAAGGCCAAUAUACGUUCAAUGCAUUGUGUGAUCAAGAUGAUGAAUUGUGUUUUAUUUUCAGUCCAUUUUGUUGUCUUUACGAUUUAGUUUACUUAGUAAACUGUGAGGUGUGUAUAAUGAACAAUGUGCAUGUAAUAAGGUAGUCUUACUGUCCUGAAUGGAUGAAUUAUAAUGUA